ACCGAGUCGUCCCCUGACUCGUAAUAUCCCCUCCUUGUCGAUGAAGGGAUUUAGGGGUUGGAGUUUCCCUGCAAUGUCCUUGAGCCGAUCCUUCUGGAAUCUCAUUCGGGAAAUGAAUGGUUUGUGAUAUCCGUACUAACUUAUUAUGUGCCCAAGUUAAUUCGUCUGCUGUUAGAUGUGCAGCUCGAUUUUGUUUGUGUCUCCAUCGAUGACACCGAGCGACGACUCUCGUUAAUUUUGACAAGGAAGAAUAUCUUUGUAAGAGAGUACGGUCGAUGGUAUUUGUGACUAGGUAGAUCGUCUCUUUUGUUCCGGGAUUUUGCCCAGCGGUGUUGGGAUCCAGAUCGGCCAAUUUUCUUCCAAAUGGUCGGGCGCAGGAAUUUCUUGGAUGUCUGACCUCGGGAGAUUAGAUCCAGAAGACUAGAAGAGGUGAAAAAUGGAGGGACACAGAUGCAAGCAAGAGAAUAGCAAGAAAGGGUGACAGCAGAUCAAAUUAUAGAAGGAAGAAAGAAACAGAAGAGAGGGGGAAAGGAUCCAAAUAUAACAGACAUUACAUUAGAAAAAUAGCCAAAGAAGAGAUACCAAAGUACUUAGAAGGGAGGAUGCAGCGGAAAGACAGAAAAAUAUUAGCAAGAUUCAGAUAUGAGAACGAGACCAAAGGAAGGGAAUACUAGAAAGAAGAGGAAGAAAAAGGACGUAAAAGGAAAGAAGACCUGAGACAUGUAAUAGAAAAAUGUGAAAUAACGGGAGGACCUAAAGACAUAGAAAAAGCAUUGAAUGAGACUUGAGAAGAACUAACAGAAUUAAAAGCAAUAAUAGAGAAGAGGAGAGCAAUACAAGACGGGGAGCCCGACGGGAGGAGGGGAGGAGAGGCGCGAAAAUAAAAUUAUGGAGGAUGCACAAUCCCCCAUAGUGAUAUGGUCGGUAUUAUUAAAAACGUUACUGUACGUUUGUAUGGUCCCUCCAUGGAAAUAAGGGUGGCCGUGAUGUGGCGCUUCGCGGCAGUGGUGUUUUAAGUUAUCGAGGGCACCGAUUGGGACCGCACAUCUCCUUUGCUUUAUAUUGGCGGAGUUUGCGAACUUUUCGUUCAUGAAGUUCAUACUAGAUCCAGUGUCUAGCAAAGCUCUGGCUCGGAUUGGUUGUGCCCUAUUAUUUAAAAUAUUGAUCUGCACUAUGACCAACAGAUUAUAAUGCAGUGGGGCUUAGGUUUGGAGGUUAGGUGUCCUACCCACACGAACGUGCCUGAGUCUGUCGAACUAGUCGACAAACAACGGAAGUUGUUUAUGUUGGAACGAUAAGAAGCCAAACGUAUUUUUAAAUGACAGAUUUAACAACAGUAAUGGACAGCUCAUAGAUGGCUCGCAAUAUUUGAUUGCAAUAGUAAAUGUACAUGUACAUUGUUGCCAUUUUCCAUGUUCUUCGCGAACGUAGAUUCCGAGUUAAGUGGAUAGCUCUGCACUCCCAACCUAAAAUAUUAUGCCAGCUCCACUGUAAGAAACAUGGGUAUCUGUGCUGACCAUUUUUUACCCGAAAUCUUCAAACCGAGUCCUACAAAAAAUACGAUUAGAAGGAAAAAGUUGAAGGGGAAUGCCGAACCAUCAAAAUAUUUAUUAAAAGAUAAAGAAGAAAAAAACAGCUCGUAAUAGAAAAACAGCUGAUGAGAAAAGAAGAGAGGCAAGACGAAAAAGACGAAGACUACUAUCAAUAAGCGAAUGUGGUUUAUUGGUAUAAAGGCGCAUCCGGAGGAAAGCUUUCCGUUAAAGUUGAGGAAGAUUCGCUGCCGAGAAAACAUCAAGAAAGAAGAGUUCAUGUCUUAAAAAUUAAGAGAAAGGGCGAAGAGCAGUUGGAAUUUGCUCGAUGGCAGAAAUUUAUUUAUUUUCUUUGUUUUUUGUUAAUAAAUUAUUGUAUUCUGACAUUUUGUACUAUUUCUAACUUCCAUUGGGCUUUAUAUGUGUUAUUAUUCCAAAAUAUAGUAAACAAUUUAUUUUUCUUCCUCAGACAAUUUACAAUUUUGUCCUUCUAUUUGUCUAUCUCGUACAGAAAAGUAGAUAUGAACUUUUUCGUAGAACCGAUAAUUAAAUAGAUUUUUGUAGCGUGGCAUUCAAUAGGUUCUUGGCUAUGUAGCGUACAAUCAAACAGAUCAGAUCCCAAACUUUAAGCUUAAAUACAUAAGUUCUUGCAUAUGCUAAAUUGCAGUCAAACAGGGAAGAUCUUUAAUUUUAUAGGUUCUUGUAUAUGCUAAUUUCAAUUAAACUCAGCAUUUGGCCACAAGCUGCAGCACUUGUACUAUAAAACAACUAGAACUACGUGCGUGAGUAAUCUCAUUUCCUCUCUGUUACAUAUUAUAUCAGAAAUUACUAAACGUCUCGCCACUCCAACCGGAAUACACUCUCGAAUGUUUCCCUACAAUAGACGCCCUUAAUUUUAAGUUUUGCAACUUCAAACUCGACCGCAACCGUAGCGAGUUGCUGAAACGCGACAUUAAAAGAUCUUUUUGCAUCGGUAGUGCUGGUUAUACCGUGUUUAGGUCCGACGUUUGCACGUUCGAAAGCUUGAUCCGGUAAAUCGAUAGCGCACAAGAGUUGUUCGAAAUGACAGCGCAUAGGUCCUCCGAGGAAAAUAAAGAAAUCGUUGGGAAAACGAGCCGUCGACGAAAAGGGAGCAGGACCGCGCAACUUGACAUAAGCCUCACGGAUUCGGUUCCGAUUCGCAACGACGUAGAAACUAAGAAAUUGAUGAUCGCCAACAAACCGAGUAAAGUCAGCAAAACUGCACCAACCUUGAGCGGCGAGCAGCCUGUGCUUCGAAGAGAAGUUGUGGUAGACCAUCCCCUUCCUGGCCUUGUGGUUUUCGGUCAAUAAAUCACUCGCUUUCGGAGAACCGUUUGAGCCGAGUGUCUCGGAAUCGUUAAAUUCCGAAAGUAUUUCGCCUGUCUUAAUUCGUAAGCUUUGUAACAAAGGAGAUGUUUUCCUCGCGCACUCGUCAAGUGUCGAUGUACACGGUCCCUCACUCUCCUCGAACGCUAAAACUGAUUCCGGUGAUGGCGAAGGACUGGUAGAAUAUUCUGGCUCCAGCGUCCACCGCAACAGUCUACGUCCAGCUCUAGGAGUCGAGUUCCUCGAGAUCGGCAAACGAGUACACUUACAAACACUUGUAUUACAAAUUUCACAUACGUUGUUCAUUUAUAGGAUAUGACAGAGUUAUUGUUAUCUUAACCUAUUAUUAAAUUAAUUUAACUUACUUCGCGAAGGGUCAUAACAUAAUUUUGCUCCCUCUUCAAUGCAUUACACCAAACCUUGUAAAAUGGCUUCUUGUCGAUUUCUUUUUUUUUUAUAUUAUACGCUUAUUUUCAUAUGAGAUCAGCGUCUGGAAAUAAUAAUGAAAAAUUAUAUAUUACGCGUUCAACUUGGAAUUCCAUCCAGAGAAAAUUUAUUACGAAAAUUAAAUAAAAAUUAUAUAAAUUGUAACCUGAUAUCGAUAAUGACAAAUGGAGACAAUAGGCAGAUAAGUUCCUCAAAAUUCUGUUAUGCGACCUAUAUUUAACCAAGAGUGUAUUGAACUAAAAUAUGUAAUUAAGCAGUUAAUAAUUGAUCUUCAUAUUUAUAUGGAAUCAUGCUUGCCAAAACCAAAAAUUAAUUUAUCAAAAGUAACUAGCAGCACAGUAAAUAUUGCUAUGAAAAGAAUAAUAAAAAAUGAUAUAAAAUAAUAUGUCCUUUGCACGUUCUAAUGCUGUUCCUUGAAAACUGAUGAAGGCCAAAAUACAACUGAUAGAACACAUAUAUAAGAACUUUGGCAAAAUACAAUAAACUUCAAGAAAAAAUGAACACAUUAAAGGCAAAUAAAAAUAUACAUAAACUGAAAGCAGAAAGAUAUGAAAAUCUGAAUAAGACAUUAGUAAAUGAAUGCAGGGAAUUAAAAGCAGAAAUGAAUAAAUUGCAAGAAGAAAAAUAGAAUUUGACAAAAUGUUUGAAAGAAUCAGAGGAGUCAUGUAAAAACAUUUCAAAUAUUUUAGUAGAAUUUAAAGAAAAAUGCUCGUCUCAAGAAUUAUUACUGUCACAACAUGAAUUUAUAAUAAAGGAUCUAAAAGCUAGUUUAGAAGUUGGAAGAGAGAUAAAUAAAAAAUUAAAUGCAGUUAAAAAUGAGUUACAAACAUUGGUUCAUACCAUGGACAAAGAUCGUAGAGUCCUCCAUAAUGCAAUACAAGAAAUGAAAGGAAAUAUCAGGGUAGUUUGCAGAGUCCGACCUGGAACUCCAAAUGAACUUGGAAAAGUGAUGUGUAAUAUCAACUUUAUACAUGAAUGCACUAUCGUAGUAGGAAAAUUUGAUGGGUAUGAUUCAGUUAGUUGCAGUGGAAAAUCAAAGGGAACCAGACAAGAAUUUUCUUUCGAUGAAAUAUUCCCAGCAACUGUUAGCCUGGAAAAUAUUUUUGUAGAGUUAGCUCUGUUAGAUCAGUCCAUUUAGAGGAGUAUACUGUCUGUGUAGCUGACUCAUUUAUUAAUAGUGUCUUUAGCUGGCACUUCAAAGACAUUGAUAUUGCUGAAUGUAUCACCUUUAGACGAAUAUUAUAAUGAAACAUUGAAUUUAUUGAGAUUUGCUAGCAACGUACACAAUUGCUAAUCCCAGAAUGGAAAAAGAAUGUGACUAAUGUCCUCCUAUGUAAUCCUAUGAGCAUGACUACAAAACAUUAUACAAAGUCCCAACAAAUAGUAUCUUAAUUAGAUUUGAAAAUAUCUAUGUCAUACCUCUUUAAGCAUUAUUUAGACUAUUUUAUAUAAUAGACAGAUAUCAUAUUUUGUUAAAAAAAAUACAAAUAAGAGUGAAGGAUUUACCAAAAGGAAUGGUUAUACAUGAUUUUAUGCAAAUAUCACUAUUAGAAAUAAAUUCAAAUUUGUCCAGUACAUUGAAAAUUAAUUUUAAUGAUUUCACACAAUUAGAAAAUUUUAUUGACUUUGCAAUUG